rnacentral:rRNA from 1 species
UACGUAGGUGGCGAGCGUUGUCCGGACUUACUGGGCGUAAAGGGAGCGUAGGCGGACUUUUAAGUGAGAUGUGAAAUACUCGGGCUCAACUUGAGUGCUGCAUUUCAAACUGGAAGUCUAGAGUGCAGGAGAGGAGAAUGGAAUUCCUAAUGUAGCGGUGAAAUGCGUAGAGAUUAGGAAGAACACCAGUGGCGAAGGCGAUUCUCUGGACUGUAACUGACGCUGAGGCUCGAAAGCGUGGGGAGCAAACAGG